GAAAGGAGGAAAAACAAAAGACGAGAGAAGAAAUUCACUGAAACAUCACUUGAUGAUUGCACAAAAACUCAGAUCUGACAAACCGUACACCUUGCACAAAGCUUUGGACCUCAUUACAGCACCAGUUGAAGAUGGAGGUUUGGUCCACUCAUCUGGUCUGGGUUCUGCCAACUUCAUUGAAGGGAUAGAUCUUUGCCAUGAAAUGGGUAGCAGUCGAUGAACCGGUUUUUGAACUGCUGCAGUAUCCAGAUUUUGAAGCAAUUCACCCGAUGGUCCACUGGCUUGAGAUCGGUGUGUUGCGUGGCCUCUUAACUUAAGAAAACCUCCGUAUUAUGGGUCAAGUUAUUAAUCAACUGCAACAAGAUGAUGAUGAGGAGGACAAUUUUCAGAAGGAUGAGGCUGAUGAGAAAGAGGCUGAUGUUCCAGCAGCAGGCAUAGAAAUAAAUCCACCUCAAGUUGAAGAACCCUGGCUCAAUAACAGAGCAGAGAUCCCAGCAGGAGAAAUGGAAAUAAACCCAGCCCAACAAGCUGAAGAUCCCAUAGCUGAAGAAAUGAGGUCAUUCUGGGAUAACGAGGAGGCUGAGUGACAGCGACAGUGUCCCUGAGAGUGGUCCUGACAGUGACACCGAUCACAGUGACACUGACGACAGCGACAGUGAUGAUGAUGGAGCCAAGGGUGGAGGAGAAUGAUGAAGAGGAAGAUGGGAGACCUAGAAAACAAUCCAAACACUGAAUUUUGCUCCUGGACACUCAGUGUUGCACCCAUCCUCCAAACCCACAGUCCCCCGUCCUAACAAACUGUAUCUCGGCUUUCCCCCUCUGAUGCACUGACUUAGUUUCCUGCCACCAGCGACCUGUUCACCUGACUGCCACGUACCACCUGUGGAUAUUUGUUCAGCCUGUGACCCACUAUGAUUGUGCUUACAAGUGGAAUGCAACAAGUGUGUGUUUCAUACCACUGGUACCUUGUUAGGUGGUGAUGAUCGUGCUCUUACUGGUCGCAGUUAUGGAGGGAGUGGUCCUAUUGGUUGGCUCCCACAUUAGGAAGGCGGGGUUGGGGCCUUCCUAUUAUCAUUAUGCCAACAUUAUUAAUAUGGUAUAGUCUUCCUCCCCUUUUUCCUUCCUGCUGUCACCAAAUGCUUGCUCAUCGGGGCUCAAACUCAUCAGCAACCAGCUGCAGAGGAGCUUGCAUCCACUAAAAGCAGCAGGAACAAAGUCAGGAAACAAAUGCUCCGAAGGAAAAAGUGAAAAACCUCAAAGCAAACAGACACUCAAAGAAAGGAAGACGAAGAAGAGAAAGGAAAGGAGGAAAAACAAAAGACGAGAGAAGAAAUUCACUGAAACAUCACUUGAUGAUUGCACAAAAACUCAGAUCUGACAAACCGUACACCUUGCACAAAGCUUUGGACCUCAUUACAGCACCAGUUGAAGAUGGAGGUUUGGUCCACUCAUCUGGUCUGGGUUCUGCCAACUUCAUUGAAGGGAUAGAUCUUUGCCAUGAAAUGGGUAGCAGUCGAUGAACCGGUUUUUGAACUGCUGCAGUAUCCAGAUUUUGAAGCAAUUCACCCGAUGGUCCACUGGCUUGAGAUCGGUGUGUUGCGUGGCCUCUUAACUUAAGAAAACCUCCGUAUUAUGGGUCAAGUUAUUAAUCAACUGCAACAAGAUGAUGAUGAGGAGGACAAUUUUCAGAAGGAUGAGGCUGAUGAGAAAGAGGCUGAUGUUCCAGCAGCAGGCAUAGAAAUAAAUCCACCUCAAGUUGAAGAACCCUGGCUCAAUAACAGAGCAGAGAUCCCAGCAGGAGAAAUGGAAAUAAACCCAGCCCAACAAGCUGAAGAUCCCAUAGCUGAAGAAAUGAGGUCAUUCUGGGAUAACGAGGAGGCUGAGUGACAGCGACAGUGUCCCUGAGAGUGGUCCUGACAGUGACACCGAUCACAGUGACACUGACGACAGCGACAGUGAUGAUGAUGGAGCCAAGGGUGGAGGAGAAUGAUGAAGAGGAAGAUGGGAGACCCAGAAAACAAUCCAAACACUGAAUUUUGCUCCUGGACACUCAGUGUUGCACCCAUCCUCCAAACCCACAGUCCCCCGUCCUAACAAACUGUAUCUCGGCUUUCCCCCUCUGAUGCACUGACUUAGUUUCCUGCCACCAGCGACCUGUUCACCUGACUGCCACGUACCACCUGUGGAUAUUUGUUCAGCCUGUGACCCACUAUGAUUGUGCUUACAAGUGGAAUGGUCAAAGGAGUUUGCAAAGAAAAGCGUCUGGACUUCUUUAAGUUGCUUGAAGACGUUUCACCUCUCAUCCGAGAAGCUUCUUCAGUUCUAAGGUCAAAU